UACGUAGGUGGCGAGCGUUGCCGGAUUUACUGGGCGUAAAGAGCGCGCAGGCGGUCGUAUAAAGUCGCGUGUGAAAGCCCCCCGGCUCAACUGGGGAGGGUCACGCGAUACUGUUCGACUCGAAGGCAGGAGAGGGAAGUGGAAUUCCCGGUGUAGUGGUGAAAUGCGUAGAUAUCGGGAGGAACACCAAGUGGCGAAGG
rnacentral:rRNA from 1 species